CUUAACUGUAAAAUUGCUAUUGAUACUGAUAAUCUUGAGUCAGAUUGGAGCGUCUGGAAUGUAUGGUGUAGCGGUGAAAUGCAUAGAUAUCAUACAGAACACCAAUAGCGAAGGCAGGAUGCUAAAUCUUCACUGACGCUGAGGCACGAGAGCGUGGGUAGCAAACAGGAUUAGAUACCCUGGUAGUCCACGCCCUAAACUAUGAUCACUAGCUAUUGGAAAAAUUAUAUUCAGUGGCCAAGCUAAAGCGAUAAGUGAUCCACCUGGGAAGUACGAUCGCAAGAUUGAAACUCAAAGGAAUUGACGGGGUUUCGCACAAGCGGUGGAGCAUGUGGUUUAAUUCGAUGAUACGCGAGGAACCUUACCAAGGUUUAAAUGUAUUACGAAUAAGCUGGAAACAACUUAGUCUAUAAGACGUAAUACAAGGUGCUGCAUGGUUGUCUUCAGUUCGUGCUGUGAAGUGUUUGGUUAAGUCCUAUAACGAGCGCAACCCUUAUUGUUAGUUGCCAUCGGGUAAAGCCGGGGACUUUAACAAAACGGCCGGUGUAAAUCGAGAGGAAGGUGGGGAUAAUGUCAAAUCAUCAUGGCCUUUAUGCCUUGGGCUACACACGUGCUACAAUGGCUGGUACAAAGGGCAGCCACUGGGUGACCAGGAGCUAAUCUGUAAAACCAGU
rnacentral:rRNA from 1 species